GUGCUUGCUUCGGCAACACACACACUAAAAUUGGGCCAAUACAGGGAAGAUUAGCAUGGCCCCUGCGCCAGGAUGACACGCAAAUUCGUGAAGCGUUUCAUAUUUUU